GAGGAGAAAGUGGAGGGAAAUGGGAAGGAAAAAAAAGUUUUUGGAGCUUAUAUUAUCAUUCAUACAUGACUCACAACCCUUAGAGAAGCUGCUGUGUUUCUGGGUUUUCCAAGAUUUUCUAUUUUCUUUCACUUUCUCUUCAUGUUAUUUAUUAUUUUCUUUAAUUUUCUGGUAUUGUAAUUUUCUUUAGUUAGCUUCUAUCAUUUCUGGGUUAUUGUUGUGACAAUAAGAAGAAUCCCAGUUUCUAUAGCAUUGGGAUUUGAAAAAAAAAAAAAAAUAAUAAAUAACAUGAAGAGAAAGUG
rnacentral:misc_RNA from 1 species